AUGAGAGAGAAAGAUGAAGAAGAAGAUGAAGAAAAGGAAGAGAGAGAGAGAGAGAGUAUGUGUGUGUGGUGUUUGUUAAAUAAAAUAAAAGAGAGUCACAAAAAGCUGACUCUGUUUCACACUUGUUUCUUUUUUCUUUUAAAUGUUUGGUUUGGGAAGUUCCGUUUCCGUUUUGGUCUUCACCGUUUACGGACACUACCAACUGCUACAGAGUUGAAGUGUGUCAUGUUCGAUAAAAAUAAGAAACGGACAUUCUUUCUUGGGGCUUGUUACGAUGUUUAA